AUGUCUCAUAAUAGACACAAGUAUAGAACGGAGUAAAACUUAUAGUCAAACAUUUUCAUGUAGCCAAAGAAGGGUCGUGUGUCACGACUAGUUACAACUGUAGCAAAACCUCAGCUGUUAGAAAUAGUAAAGCAGAGACACAAAGGGCCAUUUAUGUGGGUGUGGUUCGGGGGUGAUGAUUGGUGGUUGAUGUCAUUAUAUCCCCAUACAAUCCUGCAUCAUCAUUAUUUCUGGUAGGCUGACAGAUGUAGUGGUGUUUAGUGCUGCUCAUCCUUGCCUGCAGUUCCAUCAGGCUGGCUCUCCUCAUAUACAUCCCAUUAACAGUGCAUUUCACAAUGUAAAGUAUAUAUAUCUCAGUGCCAAGUUUCCUGUAAUGCAGUGAAUGAGUAAUGACUAAACAGGCGGAUCCAGGAGUGGGGCGUAAUGGUAUUACUGCAGCUGAAUGAAAAAGGAAAAAACUUUCAUGUGCUCCCUACAGUUGUGGUUCAUAAGCAGCUGACUGGUCUGGAGGUGGUUGCUCUGUUGUGUAGUCAGAGGACUAAACCUCCUCUGUCAGGUGAAGACCAGCAAACAGACUGGGAGGAGGACAUGCAGAAUCCACACCACAGGGUCUCUGGGACAGAAAUGAGGAAAGAAUGACAGCAUGGGCCUCCAUGUCUCCUGUCUAAAAGCAGGGCUGCAGAUCUGUAAUACCAGUGAAGAAGCUCCUAGAAACUUUCCCAGGGAACACCUGAAUGUCCCUGACAUUAUCAUCACACCUCCCACACCCACAGGAACCUUGAAUUCCAAGACAGUAGUCCAAAAGGGCCACCCAGCCUCCCCGUGAAGAGCAGCUGAUUGGGAAGGGCAUCAUUGAAACAGACAUUUUGGGAUGGAAUAAAGAACGCUAAAUCUUCUACAGACUGCAUAGACUAAGAAAGAAGAAAUACUGCAUACAUACAAAUGGAUAAAACCUAAAACGUGCAAGUUCAGAGACACAUACACAUUUUGUAUAAAAACGUUAUAAAUGACCCUGUCCCCAUUUUAUAUACAUGAUAAAAGAGACAUAUACUGGCCUAAAGGCCCUGAUUUAGGCAGCAUUAUCUUCCAGUCCAUCCCUGUUUCCGGGGCCUCUAGAAUAACCAGAAAGAAUUCUACAACCUGCUUUAGUGAGCAAUAAAAAUGUGAAAACUG